UCGGGUAUGGUGUAACGGCUAACAUUGCCGCCUCUCAUGUUCACUGCGUUCGCGGCAGCUCGGGGUUCGAUUCCCCGUACCCGAA